AAGAGCCAUCUUCUGGAGGGAGAAGAAUGAUGAGAUAAGAAUGAAGACAUUAGUACAAACCGAAGGAGCCCAACCAUCCCAGGAAACAGCAGGCUCUUAAUAGAAGAAGAAAUCUUCUAUAAUCAUGAUUCGGUGUAAAAUGACAGAAUUUUGCAGAUUUCACACUCCAAAAUGGGAUUGCUAAUGAAUAUGCUAAGAAAAAACUCAAGGAAAACUUCAAAAAAGUGGAGGAAUCAAGAAUCAGCAGUUGGCAUAUAGCCAGCAAAGAGGCGAUGACAAGAGGGGAUGAAGGGAAGAGAGAAGACACAGAGUGGGUGGACUCACAGGAGACGGUGGCGGAAGGUUUCAGGAGGAGGUUGGAAGCCAGUGGUCAGCUAAAUGCCUUGGUGAUAGAAUAUUGCUGAUUUUACUGCCUGACCUGAGCUUCUUCUAAAUGCCCGGUUACAGGCAACUGUGUGUUUUACCAUCCCCGAAAUAGUUAAGAGCAAAGACUGUCCUGGCAUAAAGGUAUGAAUAACCAAUGAAAAUGUGCUUUGAUGAUGUAAUGGUUUUGAGAUAACUUUUCAUUGGUUGGAUAUAUUUUUAUUCAGUGUUUUUGCUUCCCAGAGUAAGGCUAGAUUGUUUCUAGGUGAAUCCUGAUAGAACUGCAGUUAGCUUGCUCCUGCUCUUGUAGGUACAUUUUAAUAUGGUUGGUUAGUCUCUCUAUUAAAGCUAAGUACUGUAGUUCACAUGCCAAUUCUUAAAUCUGCAUUGCCUCUUUUUGAACAUAUAAACAUCCCAAAUCAUUAAGAAAUGAGGUACAGGUUACAUCGAGAACCAUUUUUCCAAAUGCCCUUCAACUGAGAAUGUGAUAAACGGCUUCUGAAAAUGAGCUCUAGAUGCAAAGAGGGGCUUUCAGCCUGCUGGAUGACAAAACAUUCCAAUUUUCAAUGUUUAUUAUCUUCUGCCUGUAUUUGACAGAUAGGAAGAUGCAAGAGAAGCAGUGUUGCCUAGGGGAUAGAGCACGGGCCUGGGAGUCAGAGGAUCUGGAUUCUAAUCUUGGCUCUGCCUCUUACCUAUAUGACCUUGGGAAAGUCACUUAACUUCUCUGCACCUCAGUUACCUAAUCUGUAAGGUGGGGAUUAAGACUGUGACUCCUGUGUGGGACCUGGACUGUGUCCAACUUGAUUAGCUUGUACCUACCCCAGUGCUUAGAAGAAUACCUGGCAUAUUGUAAGUGUUUAACAAAUACCAUAAAAAAAAAGAGGGCAGGUCAGCUUCAGCUCUUUGAAGUACUUUAAAUACAAGGGCACAAGGGAAAUCUGGUUAUAUUUAAGGUACAUUUUAAGAAUACAUAACCGUAAGAUCUCAAUGCCAUGUUUCACAUAUUGAGACCAUGUUAAUCUUUAUUCUAUGUGAUGGAGUAUUUCUAAAUGUGCUGCAGUAUGCAUAGUGACCUAACGAUAUUAGGGCUCAAUUAAACUAUCCCAAAUCCAGU